rnacentral:rRNA from 1 species
CAGUAGCCGCGGUAAUACGAAGGGGGCUAGCGUUGUUCGGAUUUACUGGGCGUAAAGCGCACGUAGGCGGAUCGAUCAGUCAGGGGUGAAAUCCCAGAGCUCAACUCUGGAACUGCCUUUGAUACUGUCGAUCUGGAGUAUGGAAGAGGUGAGUGGAAUUCCGAGUGCAGAGGUGAAAUUCGUAGAUAUUCGGAGGAACACCAGUGGCGAAGGCGGCUCACUGGUCCAUUACUGACGCUGAGGCGCGAAAGCUAGGGUAGCAAACGGGAUUAGAUACCCCAGUAGUCCCUGUCUCUUAUAC